rnacentral:lncRNA from 1 species
UCUCGUAUGAUGUUCCCUUUAUACUUCGGUAUGUUACUUGCCCGAGAUUCGAUCGUCGGUAUCUCCAUACCUAGUUCAAUCUGGUUACCGACAAGUCUCUUUAUGUGUUCCGUAAUAGAAGAUCCAGUGACUACCUCCUUAGUCACGUUGCUUGCAAGGCUUAUUGUAAUGUUGUAUUAUCGAGUGGGCUCCGAGAUACCUCUUCGUCACACGGAGUGACAAAUCCCAGUCUUGAUCCAUACUAACCCAACAGACACCUUUGGAGAUACUUGUAGAGCACAUUUAUAGUCACCCAGUUACGUUGCAACGUUUGAUACAGACAAGGUAUUCCUCCGGUGUCCGGGAGUUGCAUGAUCUCAUGGUUAUAGGAACAGAUACAUUGACAUGCAGAAAACAAUAGCAAUAAACUGACACGAUCAUAUGCUACGUUCAUAGUUUGGGUCUUGUCCAUCACAUGAUUCUCCUAAUGAUGUGAUCCCGUUAUCAAGUGACAACACUUGUCUAUGGCCAGGAAAUCUUGACCAUCUUUGAUCAACGAAAUAGUCAACUAGAGGCUCACUAGGGACAGUGUGUUGUCUAUGUAUCCACACAUGUACAAUUAUCAUGAACAAGGAAAUAUAAUAAUAACUAAUUUAUUAUUGCCUCUAGGGCAUAUUUCCAAGAGGGGUUAGAAGCUUUUCAUGGCAAUGAUGGGAGGCAUGACAUAACAGGUGGUAGGCAGUGAGACAUAGCUAUAGAACUGAGACAACUAGCAUAUCAAUGAUAGUAGUGGUAUCUAGGGAAAUGAUCAUAUUACCCGAGAUCCUGCUUGAAAGAAGAACGAAUCCGUGAAGUAGACGAACCAACAUAGUCGAAUGAAUCCUCACACUCUAAAGCGGUUUCGGAACUCCACCGAGAAGAAAUAAUCCACAAACAAACAAUCAACACACGAUAAACAUCACAACAUAUUCAUGACAUGAUGUGCAUGCAAUUAUGAUGCAUGUUUAUUUAAUUAUGCAUACGUCACAACACAACAAUCAACUUUACACAUUAAGUGAAGCUCAAUAUGCAACGAGUUAAAUAUUGACAAAACUUCAAUUUUUGUAUUAUUUAAUUCACUCCCGUUUAGGUACACUAUAAUACUAAAUGUUCUUAAACACGACUAGAGGUGAAUCAUACAUAAACUACACUAUCUAGGCAUUUAAAUGAGACCGAAAACAACUUAUAGUAUUUCCAAAACGACACGAUAUGUUAAUUUAGAAAUUGGUCUAGAUAUGUACUAAACACAUUUUAUAUUUAUUAAACAGCAAAAUAAAAUGGACUAUGCAAUUAUACACGUCAUUUUAGUCGAUAUAUAUAUAGAUAUCUAAAAUGAAGGUACAGUCUAAAAGAUAUGAUCCUCACAAGAUGAAUAUGUCAUAAAUGUAAAAUGUAUGUAAAUAACAAUCACAAGCAUUAUCAAUCAUAGAUGCAAAAAGAUAUUAUGAAACUGCAUGAAAUUUUAAACAAGUUUAAAUGAGGCCGGAACAACGAAUAAUAGUUCCGUAAAAUCCUCAUAUGCAAAUUCAGAUUUUGAUACUGUUCUUCCUAUAACAUAUUUCUAGAGUUAAUAAAGAGCAAAAUAAUAAACACCAUAUUAUUCUACGCAUUUUUCUAGUCAUACUACAUAUGUGAACCAUUUUAAUCAGAGCUACAGUUAUUUAACUAGAAAAUAAAUCAUUUUAACAUGGUAUUUAUGCAAAUUAAAUGAAAAUAACAAGUUAAACAUUUUAAACAUGGUUGGAUGUUAUGAAUUAUUACUCUACACAAAUUUUUAGUUGUUUUACAUAUAUAUAAAACAUGUUAAUUUGAUGCACGGUUAAUUAAUUAUGAGCAUUUUAAAAUCAUGCAUAUUUUUUGUCUAAUUAGCAUGCCGUGGAAAUUAGACAAAUUGCAACAGGGAAAAAAGAUAAUACGCGAGCUAAAUCUGUUGGGCGUAGCACACAAAAGGGCGUAGCGGGCGAUGGAUAGACGAUGGCUGCUCACCUCGGGGCCUUGGCCCGGUCGGUGAUGGGUUCGACACAGAGCAAGGCGAUGGGCCAGGAGGCGCUACGCGCCGAGGUGAUCACUUCGGCCUGGCACAGUGCUCGGCAGCCCAGGAGCAUGCAGCGCUCGGGCGCUCGCUUCGUCCUCCUCGCAUGCCGCACGAGGCACGAGUCACGACGCAGCGGGGCGCGAAGGUCGCCGGGGCAGGGGAGCGAGCAGAUCCGGUCAUGGGAUCCCCGGAUCCGGCUUCGGAGGUCGAAGGGGCGUCCGGCGAGGGGGAUCUCUGGCCGGCGGCGGAGCUUCAUGCGGCGCCUGCAAGGAAGGAGAGAGAGAGGUUACCAGAGAGUGGGAGAGAGAGCGGGUAGAGGGAGAGAGGAGGAAGAAUGAGAGGGGAGAAACGGGGCGACAGGUCCUGCAGGCCGGCGCUGCUACGGCGGGUCACCGGUCGCCGAACGGCGGGGUCGAGCUGGUGCAUCCAUGCCCUCGUUUUCGGGAGGAGUAAGGGGGCUCAGGCGGCUGGCUCAUCUAGCUGCGUGCGCUCGGGCACGAGCGAGUGAGCGUUUGGGACGAGCUGCAGCUACGCGAGGUGCUCACGGCAACGGCGAGCCGAUUGGACGGGCAUGUAGGAUGAGGGAGGAGCACGUGUAUGGCCCUCAUCUGCUGGUCCUGCGGCAGCGCUGAGUGCUCAUGGAGGUCGCGGGGAACUCAGGAUCGAGCCUC